UUUUGUAAUGCAUUACUUUUAAAAGUAACUUUCCCCAACACUGCCUAAGACCACCGCUGGAAAGAGAAAUUGGUUGUGAAUGCAGCUCAUGUGUGUGAGAGAAAGUGAAAGAAGUGAGAAUUUAAAACGAGCAAUGACUUAAAGGGUUAAAAAGCCAAAAAAUUGCGUCUAUGAGAUCAAGUCUCUUUCCAAAGCGAGAUCUAUUUUUGUCUUUGCUGUGGUCUGAAGGUACCUCAGAGGAGCUGUAAAUUAUUCAAAACGGCCACAACAGGCCCUUGUCAGUGACACUUAGAGUAACCUUUCUUUGUCAGUUAGCGGCAGGUUUUGUUGUUGUGCAGAUUUGUUUUUGAAUGAGAAACCCAUAUUAGAAGAAUCACAAUGUAAAUGUCCGGUUUGAGGCACUGAAAGAGUCAUCAUAAUUUUCUGCAU